rnacentral:tRNA from 1 species
GUCAAUGUGGUGUAGUGGUUUGGGCACUGGAUUAUGACUCUGGAGACCAGGGUUUGAAUCCUGGCUUAGCCA